AGCAGCCGCGGUAAUUCCAGCUCCAAUAGCGUAUAUUAAAGUUGUUGCAGUUAAAAAGCUCGUAGUUGAAUUUCGGGAUUUGUCGGUUGGUCGGGCUUCACUGUCCGCACUGGCCUGACGGAUUCCUACCUUCUGAAUAACCAGCAUGCUAUUAAGUUAGUGCGUUGGGGAAGCAGAGCUAUUACCUUGAAAAAAUUAGAGUGCUUAAAGCAGGCUUGUGCUUGAAUAGAUUAGCAUGGAAUAAUAAAAUAGGACGGCAUGGUUCUAUUUUGUUGGUUUCUAGCAUCACCGUAAUGAUUAAUAGGGAUAGUUGGGGGCAUUAGUAUUCAAUUGUCAGAGGUGAAAUUCUUGGAUUUAUUGAAGACUAACUUCUGCGAAAGCAUUUGCCAAGGAUGUUUUCAUUAAUCAAGAACGAAAGUUAGGGGAUCGAAGACGAUCAGAUACCGUCGUAGUCUUAACCAUAAACUAUGCCGACUAGGGAUCGGACGAUGUUAAUUUUUUAAUGACUCG
rnacentral:rRNA from 1 species